rnacentral:rRNA from 1 species
AUGGUACACCGGUGCCAGCUUUUAAUAGCUUCCCCCGGAGCAGGCGACAAUGAGGCAGCUGCAGCCAUGGAAGAGGCGGCAAGGGCAUUCAUAGUGGUCAUGAUAGCACAUUGCAAAACUGGUCCGGCUGCCUUUGUCUUCUCAUCGAGCACCCGACAAUGGCGAGCCGCUGCAUCCAAUGGUUGGGAUGAUUUGUUCCCCAACCAGGGAGAGUCAACCAUGAUCUCAUCAAUGCACAGAAAGUUGGUCGGGUGCCAUUACGCUUAUGGCUGCUUUUAUUUGGAGUCCACAAUGAAUAACAAGUUGCUUGUGUUUGACACCCGGAGGAUGGAGUUCUCCAUCCUCGACGUCCCAUGCGAAACAUCGAACAUGUUCGGUCUAGCCAUUGUGGAGGCAGGAGAAGGCAGGCUCGGGAUGUUGGAUAUCCAUGAUGAAACUUUAGGUGGCAAAUGUGAUCUCUGUUAUUACAUUAGAGGAAACAGAGGUGAGAAUUCUGGCCAGUGGAAGAUCGAGAAGACAAUAUCACUACCUUAUGAUUAUCAGUACUAUAUCCAAGCUUCAACUAAGAGGUACUUGCUCCUAAGAAAGCUUGGACCCCUGCAGUCCAUAAGCUCAUCUCUGGAGGUGGAAUAUGUCUCAAUGGACGUCAAGACAUUGCAGCUUCAGAGGGUUUGUGGUGUAUCUUUCGGGUAUAGCUUGGCCAGCGCGCGCAUAUACACCAACUUCCCUCCAUCCUUGUUGUCUGCACCGACAAUAUGA